CCUACGGGAGGCAGCAGUGAGGAAUAUUGGUCAAUGGACGAGAGUCUGAACCAGCCAAGUAGCGUGAAGGAUGACUGCCCUAUGGGUUGUAAACUUCUUUUAUAUGGGAAUAAAAUGUUCCACGUGUGGGCUUUUGUAUGUACCAUAUGAAUAAGGAUCGGCUAACUCCGUGCCAGCAGCCGCGGUAAUACGGAGGAUCCGAGUGUUAUCCGGAUUUAUUGGGUUUAAAGGGAGCGUAGGUGGAUUGUUAAGUCAGUUGUGAAAGUUUGCGGCUCAACCGUAAAAUUGCAGUUGAAACUGGCAGUCUUGAGUACAGUAGAGGUGGGCGGAAUUCGUGGUGUAGCGGUGAAAUGCUUAGAUAUCACGAAGAACUCCGAUUGCGAAGGCAGCUCACUGGACUGCAACUGACACUGAGGCUCGAAAGUGUGGGUAUCAAACAGGAUUAGAUACCCUUGUAGUC
rnacentral:rRNA from 1 species